UACGUAGGGCGCAAGCGUUGUCCGGAAUUAUUGGGCAUAAAGAGCUCGUAGGCGGUUUGUCACGUCGGAUGUGAAAACCCGGGGCUUAACCCCGGGCCUGCAUUCGAUACGGGCUGACUAGAGUUCGGCAGGGGAGACUGGAAUUCCUGGUGUAGCGGUGAAAUGCGCAGAUAUCAGGAGGAACACCGGUGGCGAAGGCGGGUCUCUGGGCCGAUACUGACGCUGAGGAGCGAAAGCGUGGGGAGCGAACAGG
rnacentral:rRNA from 1 species